CCGUGCCAUGCCGACAAGUCGAAGAAUCGAGUUCCGGAAGGAGCGAGCUAUCCCGCCUCGGCUACAGGACAUCAAUACGUGAUAUUUGGAUGCGAUAGCCAACGAUUCUCGCCGACUAUGAUCCUGCUCGAGUCACCAUGGUUAUUGGUAUCACGGCUACGCCAUUUGGGAAGAAACUCAGGAAUAUGUAAAUGUUGAGUUCAAAGCGACGGUUAGUAGCAUCUAUAUCAGGUGUUUAUGUUUCGUAUUAUAUUAGACUCGCGAUCUUAAGUUUAUUUUUGAAGAUUUGAGUUCUUGGAUUUUCGAUUUUAUUGUAUUUGUUUUCAAGAAUUAUAAGUUAGGUUAGGUUGAUUGUUGCAUUGCCUGAAGCUUUGGGAGGUUCGACGGAUGAAUGAAUCCAUUACGAAUCGCAUGUUUUCUCAGAGGAUUCAUAGUUACUUGAUGAUUAAUCAGAUUCAAUGAUUUGCCACAUUACUGAAGAUUCUUCCAUUAUUAUUCUGUGUAUUUGUUGUAGUGGAUGAAUGUUACAAGAUGAACCAUUUGGUAGAACUCUUUGAUUUCUUUUGAAGGCGGGUCAUACUGCUCAAGCCAGUCCGGAAGAGGCAGAACAAGUGAUUCAUUGAUGCAUUCAGAUGAUUAGCACAGGUUUAAACAUUUACCCCCGACAAAGAGGUCGGAGGCUUCGACCCUCCAACUCCACACGUUGAAUAAAAAAAGAAUAGAAAGGAAGCAAUUUGGCAUGUCAUUUGGCUUGGGCAUUUGAAUGCAGGGUAGCAAGGAAUUGCUUGAGACACCUAUUGUAGAUGCAAGGUCGUUCCAAGUGAACCAAGUGACCCGACUUCGUUUUCGGGCAAGCUCGACAUUGAAAAUCUGAUCAUUUAGGCCCCAUAAAAGAUGUAUCUUCUGCAAAGAGAUGGAUGAAGAAUCAUAAGCAAUCUUCAAGUGAAAGAAUU